AAAAAAUUCUGAUGUGAUUGAUGUAGAGAUAAUAAAACCUGAGUAACAUGAUAGAGACUGAUGGGCAGAGGGAACUUCAGAUGGGGUUGGGAGGGCAUGGGAGACAUCUCUGAGCCUAGACCUGAAGAAGAAAGGCACAGGGCCGUGAUCAUUUAGGGACAUAGGGUAAGAGCAGGGACAGCAACCUGAGACAGGAAGGGUUUUGAUAUCUGGGAAAACAGAAAAGCAAAUGUGACUGGGGCAGAGGGAGUCAUGAGAUGAGGGCAAGCUCCCAGGAGGAGGCUGGACACUGGCAGGGGCCCUGGACACAGGGCUAUGGAGCCACAGUGAGGAGUUGGGCUUUCAACAUUUGUCCACAUGGACCAGAGGUGCCUUGAGGGAAACAUGCACUUAAUAGCUCACAGCUCAAGAUUUUAACA
rnacentral:lncRNA from 1 species